GUUACCGACACAGCCCACAACUGUCUUGAGUACAAUACUCACCCUGUGUACAAGGAAUGCAAAUGGAUCAUAAAAAUGCAUUCUACUAGCUAAUUAGAGGCAAUCUGAAACGACAGUUAAUGCAUACUUGAUAGUAAUAUAGCGCAUCUUUUCUGUGCUCCUGCAUACAUCUUUGAUUUUUAUUGAGGCAGAGGUAAUUUCAUGGAAAACAAAUUCAAAUAUUCAAGCGUCUAAAAUAACCUGCAGCUAAAGAAUAUGCUCUUUGCGAACAGCUGCGAUCACAUUACAGUUUGAUUAUUAAAAAUAUAUACCUAUAUCAAAAAAAAGUAAAACAAAAGAUUGCUCAUAGUAUUUUAAUCUCUGUACUUCAGCUGAGAGAUGAAGAGGAGUACUGGAGCAAACACAGUUGCUCACAGUGCUCAGUUUGUGUGUACUUUAGUGAAUGAUUUACUGGGUGUGGCCGUGAGCUUACAACAAAUGAAGGGCUUGACGUUUCGCUACAUGGCUAAUGUUUACCUCUUCUGCAGAUCGAGUUGGUGCACUUUUUGGCGGACUAUCACAGUGCUCUUCCUGUUGUUGUCCUGUUUCAACACAGCCAGCACUGUUUUUUUCCCCAACACAAAUUUCAGUGUCACUGUGAUUGUGACACGCUUUAUUUUGAUUAUUGUGUAAUAGUUUAUCACCUGACGUCUUUCUAAUAGGUUCUCUUGUUAGAAGAAACUCUCUGAAGUGUCCAAUCAACGUCACUUAAAAUGAAUUAUUGAUCACAUAUUUAACGCCAGGCUUCUACAGAUAACAGGCUUAGCGUCUUUACGCAUUCAACCCCAUAAAUAAAUGAUAUCAUGUAACAAAUGUGUUGAAUAUAAAUCCUACUCUCCAAUGACAUUGUGAUCUCAUUAUGCAUAUUCUGCAUAUAGAUGAUUAAUUUGUAGAUAAAACAAAAAAAAAGCUAACAACAUUCAACUCUUUGUAAGGAUGACGCACAUCAUGCAUCAGUGUGAUGAAUUCCAAAUAUGAACCUGGAAAUAUAAUUAUAGGGUCCAGAAAAGACCAUCUGUCAUGUGAUUGCGGUGAAGAGUAUUCAAGAUGACAGCAAGAGAGCAAGGAAGGGAGGGGGGGAGGAUUAAAUCUAGGAGUAAAAUCUGGUCUCUUGCCACGAUCAAACACUGGAAUCUUGUUAAGGAAAAACACAACAAUGUUAUCUGCACAGAUUACAAUAAUACUGUCACAAUUAUGGGAGGAUGUGAACGAGAUGUGAACAUCAAAGGUUUAUGCUCAUACAUCCCACCGGGGCCAAUUAGAAGAAUCUUGAAAAGUCACUUCACUUUAAAUAAUGAAAAUAAGCAGUUAACCCAAAUAUCUCCACUCCAAGCACAGAGAGGAACUUUUCAGUACCCCCUUAAUUUAAUGAUAAAGAGCCUUUUUCUUAUUAAUUACAAUCCUCUGAAGAAAUCAAAUACACUUGAAAUCUGGUGUCAAAUGUUGCAAUCAGUCACAUUUUUGGUACUUUUUUUUGUUUAUUCAAAGCGCAUCCUGUCCUCUGUUUAACCCCAGACAGAUAUUUAGCAGUACAGGGAAUUUCUACAGAAAGGAGUCUACCAUGACCAAACUGUUCACAAUGAUGACCCAGGGUGAAUAUCACUUGUUCAGCAGAAAUCAUUUGACUCAUUGCUUAUUUGUAGCUGCAUACCAUUGAAAGGGCGUGAAAUGUAUCAUGGGUUUCCAAACUGUGGAGCAGGGAGAAAAAACUGUGGCCUCAGUUAUCACAACUCUGAAUUACAUUUUCACACUUUUUAAUUAAAAGAAUUGAUAAAAAUAGUAGAGGAGAAAUAUUUCUGUUCAGUUCUGCGGUGCGAAAUAGCAAGCUCAGCUGUCCUGACAUAUGGUGCAUGCAUGCAUGUGUGUGCAUGCCAUAAGGGUUGCACAACAAAAGUACCUUAGCCGCUUUUAAAAUGACAACAAACAAGAAUUUUAGAUAAUUUCUUCAAGGAUUAUCACACCCAUCCUUAUGUAAAGCAACAGCAGUGAUAAGCCCCAUAAUUCAAUAGACCCGUUUGUGUGUCCGCCCUUAUCAGAGCUGCUUGAGCCAUCACUUCCAGUCACUUCUGUAAAGAUGCAAUUAAUUCCAAAGCAGUAGCGUGAAAUUAAUUUAUUGCUUGUAAUUAGUUUUCGGCAUACUGUGAAAACAAUCUCUCCAGAUAGGCUGUUUCUUUUUUUCUGCCUCCACCAGAGAGUCUGAGGACACUUGGCUCCACUGGAGUUCAAUAUGGAGUGCAUGUCUUUCAGCUGCCAAGCUUGCGGGGUUUAGAAACGCCUUAACUCCCUGUUGACAUUGGCCUCAGGAUUUAUGGUCUUAAACCUAUCAUGCAAGAUAUUUUGGUAGCAAUCAACACGAGAAAAAGUGAUCUCUUCGUGGUAUGUCUCAGAAAAACAGAAACCAGGACAUUUAUAAACAGAAUUCAGGUUGUUUGUGAAUAAUUUAAUCACUGAGCGUGCAUGUUUCUGCAUUCAGCAGGCUUCAUUCGGAUUGAAGUGAUGGAUUCAUGAAGCAAACCUAAUUAUGCUUUGUUAAGAAGGACUCUCCUGUCACUAAUCAGAGAUGAUUAAUAUGCACUUUCCUCAGGAAAAGAGGUUAUAAAUACAAGGUGUCGUGCCUAACCAGACCAGUAGGUGUCACACUUACCUCUUUUCUGAGUUAAAGCACAGGCAGUGGAGGCAGCUGGGGGAGGAAUAUUUAUGGAAGGUGGUGGAUUCUAGUCAAGACACUCUCCCUUGUCUGUCAUAUCAAACACCUGAAAUCACUUCAAUUAAGCCGUGAAGGUACGACAGCCUAGUUAAAGUGAAGUGAUGUGACAAUCUGCAGCAGGAGACUCAUCACGCUUUCAUGUGGCAUAUGCCCGACUUCACUGAUAUCAGGCGUCACUUAUCCUGUAAGAUCAGGCUUUUCAACAAUUCCUCCUCAAUCAUUAUAACCGGAGGGAGACGGAAGAUGACCACUGUCCCUGAAUCAGCCAAGAUUAAUGACUGAUUAUUUAAAACUCGCACUAUUUAUAAUUCAAAUUCUCAACCAUCUUCCAAGGAUUUGUGACUACCUCAAAUGACAGGGACACAUGUUUUUCACAACUAUCAAUCAGUCUGCCGAUUCUUUAUGUAUCUCUAAAUCACAACAAAAAAACAGUUUUGUGAUAUUCAAUCCAAAGACCAGAUCUUGGCUGUGCAGAAUUCUGCACUGUGUUAUGUAGUAUGGCUCAAAGCACGUAGAAAAUCUUCCCUGAAACAGGCAAAAUGCUUAAGCAGAACUAGACUCAUUGGUGGAAAGCUAUCUGCCACGAAUGUCCAUGUGAUGUAUGUCAUGAUUGCUCCAUAAAAGUGAAGUCAGCCUUUUCCUGGAGCUCCUCCUAGUGACUCAAUGCAAUGUGUCCACCUCCUCUAUGUCAACAGAUCGAACAAACUGUCAAAACAACACACACAUCAAACAGUUCCUCCAUACACUAGAGUUUAUUCUUUUCAUCCUGAUUUACAUCCAGGUGUCAGGAAACUAAAAAAUACAUUUACGGGUUAUUUCAUCCUUUAAAGAGCGGUGUGUGACAAAUACUGCAAUCCUGUUGGACUGUGUGCAGUGAUUUAGCAGAACGACACAGGGAACAGCAGGAGGACACAAAGCAAGGUUCACUGAACUUUAAGUAUGAGUGUCUGUUUUAAUGAUGUAGACUGUGCUGACCUACAGGACCAGUGCUGUUUUGAUAAAUUGGUGUUUGUUAGCAGAAAAGGAGGGAUAUGAAUACUGUGACUUGACCAGCGGACCCCUACUGCACAAAGUCUCCUAAUGAUGUCACAAGCGAAAUAUAUCAGGGUGGUAUUUUGGCUUUGCUUUGUCGCAAUUUAAGUGGGUGGAGAAGUUGUCCUUUUUUUCUUUUUUUUUACAUAAUCAGAGACUGUGUCCAUUAAAGCCUUUUUUUUUGCUGGCAGCACCAACAACCUCAAUGUCAGAUGGCGACUUAUCAGCUGAGAAGCAUUUUGUUGCAGGGUUACCAAAGUUUUUGGCAUCACUUUCGCUUUCCUUUGUAGUCACCGUUUGGUCUGUCGCUCCAUAUGUUUCAUAUUUGCUUUCGUUUUACGGACAAACACCUUAAACAAGCAGAGCCGGCCCAAGGCAUAAGCGAACUAGGCUCCUGCUUUGGGCCCCAUGGCCAGUAGGGGGCCCCCAAGAACAACCAAAAAAUUUUUUUAAAAAAUUUAAUGUUUUUAAUUUUUUGCAUGUAUGAGUGAUGCUUUCUGUAUGAUCCAAUAUAAAUUAUUGUAACAAUAAAACAAAAUACAAUGCGUCCCGGGUGAAGAUAGAAGACUGACACAACAGCAGACUGACUGUUUUUCAGUUCUGACACUAGUGUUGAGAUGGCAGUCUGUGUUUGAGACAGUGAAAAUACAUAUGGUAUGUUGUAUCUGAACAGGUUAGCUUACGAGCUAAAGUUAAUUAGCACAGAUGAAAGUUAAAACAAACAGCAAUCUGUUUUCCGACACGAAAACAAUCAGCCGGUCGGCCAUGUUGGAUGUACUGGUGAACCGCAACAAUAUGAAAUCUGAUGUGAAGGCUUGUAUUGACUUGAUAUGGGUUCGAAAAAAAAUAUUGACAUCUGAAAUAAUCGCACGAAAAAAAAUUAAAAAAAGAUAUGUCAAAGCUCCGCUACGGUUAUGUGCCUCCUGCUGUGCAAUGUGCACCGAGCAUCCAAAGUGCAGGUAGUUGUGGGGCAAAACAAUGUCACUAAAAGGACAUAUCCUUCAGGAGCAGAGAAAAGAAAGAGGAAGAAGAAGGAGAAGAGAAAAAACGUCAAGAUAAAGGUAUGUAUGAGAUUUGUGAAGGUGUGUGAAUGAUCAACAAUCAAUAUUCCUGGCAGAGAUAGAGGGCCACAAAAUCAAAGUUUGCUUAGGGCCCCAUUGAGGCUCUGUAAACGAGUUUCAGUCAUGUCAUAGCAGUGGUAGAAGCCCUGAACCCAGAAGAAAGACCUACACCUAAAGUCCCGCCCCUUCUUCAUUGGUGAGCAGAAAGUGACAUAGAUGAGCUCAGUGAGAAAAAAUUGCCAAUACUAAUUAGGUUUUUCACAAAAAACACUGAACUACAUUUAGUUGGAAUAGAAAAAAAGCACAAAAAUUAGACAAAUUGGUCGACACAGCCUUACAAUGACUAGAACAUACUGCUCUUAUUCUGCAUUCACUCUACACCAGCAGAAACUACUUACUACAUUGUUUGAAGGGUUGUAUUAUUCCUGAAAUUUCUGUCCACCUCCUUCACACUCAGUUGAAAUGUGCGGCUCACAUAUUAAUUAGAUGAAUCUGUUAAGCAGCAGAGAGCCUCAGCGAGACAUCUGCUUCUUAAUUAGUCAAAAGGAUUCAAGUCACAAAGACUGGAAAGAAUACCUGUCUUAAUGCUAAAUGAGCUCAUUUGAUUAAAUCCAUGAUUAUUUAACACAAGAAUCUCUUUAUACAGUGUAAAUAUUAAUACAUCACAUAUUUUCUACAGGCUGAAUGAAGCUUAGCAAAAUGCAGAUAGAGCUUUAUUUGGAUUUUUCAAUCUAAUUCACUGCUUUUUCAUUUUUUAAGGGUUUUUAGCGAGUUUCUCCACCAUGACAUGUGAUAAUUAUCUCCCAGAUCUGAUUAUCAUUGCAGCUCAGGAAAGCUAAUUAAUGGACUCAUCCUUGUAAUGAUUGUGUGAAUCAAACUGUCAUUUCCCCCCUGGGUUUAAAUGACAGGUCUAAAAAAAAAUAUUACAGAGUGGAAAUCUUUUUGAACACAAGGACAUGUAUGACGCACGAUACUGAAAGCAUAGACAGACAAAUAAGAGGGUAAACUUCCUGGUAAAUUAUCGGGACAUAACAGUUUCUUCAAUUUAUUUUCUGUUGACCUAUUUUCCCUGCAAAUGUUUAAUGGCAAAACAUACAGGAAAGCAACAGACAGCACAAGAUUAAAGCUUUACUUUCAUCUUAUUUCUUCUAAUGAGAGAGGAACACUGGAGGACGAGGCUGCUCAUCAUCAAGUGACCACCACAGUGAAGCGGAAAGCCUCUCAGACUCAUUACUGCACAAACGCACGGCUGAGGUUGACCGCCGCUGAGGCCUAUUCAUCUCCACAAGCCCACCUCUGAACCACAUCAAGAGACUGCGGUUGAAAAUAUCUGCUUAUGUUUGUCUCCUAAGCACAAGCAUUGAAGUGCAAUAAACCAGAGGUCUUAGUGCAGGAAUUGUAAAGUACUACUCUCAUUCCUUAAUGUUAAUCCUGCUAAGGUUCGCCCCAAUUCGCACUCAGGUUAGGUGGUUAGGGCGUUGAACAACAUGCUGAGAAAAAUUCACGGCUUGUCUCGGUCUUGCUGGUGCGAAAACGCUCCUGCGACUACAACAUGUCAAAUAAUCAUUUUAAUAAAAACACUCUGCAAAAGCAAAAAAAAAAGCCGCAAACGGAAAGGUUAAAGGAAAUCUAAAGGGUGUUGUUGGUGCCGGAGAAGAAAGAAAUGUUUGUCACAAGAUGUGCCUGUCUGACUGAAAGCCUCGGUGUGACGUUGUUGUUUGUCACAAGUGCCACACAUUAGCACAGUAGCCCUGGUACAUUCAUCUGACAGAGAGAGGGGGGAAAAAAAGAGGGCCUGACAAAGUGUUAUCUUCUGUAGUAUUCAUAAUCAAAGAGAGCCCUGCAGAAUAUUACUGUCAUGUAUCAGCAACUGCUAGCAUUUAACAGGCAAAACGCAAGGGUUUAAAAGGCGGGGAUCAGCAGAGAGCAGAGGCAGGGGCACACGGGGUUAGACAGGAGGAAUAAACAGGUAGAUUAGGAGCAGAAAGGAGAGAGCCAGAGUGCUUGGCAUGCACACACACAGAGAAGCCAGGCCUUUUUUCAUGUGGCUGUUUGCCGGUUGAUUUUGGGGACUGAUGUUAGGCAUUAAGUCGGAGCAAAGAUUCAGGCUCACUUCGGCUCUUAGUGUGUAACCCCUGUAGUGAAGAUCUAUAAGGCUGAUCAGACCACCUUCUGUGGAAGCUGCCGCUUUUGCCUCACAGCCAAUCCCCAGACCCGGUUCAGAAAAAGACUUCAGCAGACUACAAAACACAGUCUCACACAGAGGUUAUGCCUUGAUAACCACCCAGUCUUAGCGAGGAAUUUAAUUGGCCCGCUGCAUAUUCGACUUCAGGGAAUGUUUUGACACUGUAGGUGUCAGAACAGGAUGAGCCAAAGGUUGGAGCAGUGGAUACAUAGCAUGCUGCCAAAUCUCAGCCCCCUCAGCCCUCUGAGCUCAACGGCCAUAACGCAGAUUUGCAUAUUGAUGAGGAUACUUGCAAAGUUUCUAAUCCAUAAAUUAAGAUUCUAAUGCAAAAAUCAAAAACAAGGAUUAUUGCACUUAAUGUAAACGUGACUAAUUUAAAGGGAGCACUUCUUUUCCUGAUGCUUAUUUCAUGCAUUCAGCGUACAACAGGGAGGGGAAGCAGAUCUGACCACCAGUCUCCGAGGACGUGUAUGGCAAAGUGGGACAAAAUAGGUGGAAAAAAUGCACACAUUGCAUGUGUAUGAGAACACACAGGAAUACAACUUCAUUAUCUCUGAAUACAUAUACCGUCUGUGGUGUCAAAAAAAAUCCAAUACUGCACAGAAGCAAAUCUCUUUCUAAGCCCUGUGACCGCUUUGUUGUUUAUUUAUACCAAAGUGAGGAGAAGUUAAACCACACCGACACCCACUUUACAUGGUGAUCCCUUUCAUGUUCUGAGACCGAGCUCAAAAGACUUUUUUUUUAUACAUAUCCACCAACACUGAUGCCAAGGGAAUACAUUUUAUUGAUUUGCUGUCAGGCUUGGAUCAACAAGGUCCUUUCAGGAGGCUCAGUACAUAACAGCACAGCCGGAAGACUAGCGGAGCACAUAUAGACUAGCAAAUGAUAAUGUUUAGGGUGGAAAACACAGGGUUUGUCUCUUAUGUCUCUUAUGUCUCAUGCAGCUGGUUUUAGAGAGUCUGCACUCUCUGUUUUGUUCUCUUGGCUCGAAUUUUCGAGUAAAUUAGCAGCUGAGUGAGAAAUAGUUUCCCAUCUAAUUUUACUGUGUUGUAAAAUCAGUUCAUCAUCAGUUAGUAUAAUGCGUCCUAUAUCAAAAAGGGUUUCAUUUCCCCUCAGAUAAAGGCCACUAAAUCAUACACACCAUCACUCUUACCUCA